AUUAAUCAAAAUUAAAAAGUAGGAUCUCUAAGGUUUUUUUAGGAACAGCAAAACUUUUAUACUAACCUAUUUUAACUGAUUUUAUUGUCUUUUAACCUGCAUGCAUUUGAUAUAUAUUUUUUAUGUUUUAAUAAGGCGUGGCACUUAAUUUUAGCACUUAUUUUAAUGUACUAACAAUUUUCUAUGGAUGUUUUCCAUGUUUUUAGCACUUAUUUAACUUUGCUGCUUCUAAUUUACCCACAAGAUUAAGUUUUACCAGAUCCUUAACAACUUGGAUUAAUUGAUUUUUAAUCUUUUUUUUUACUAUAAAUAUUGAUCUAGUUGGUCAUUUUUAGACUUUUUUAUUAUUAUUUUCUUUUUAUUUUUUUAUUUUUUUUGUUUUUUUUCUGUCUCCCGUCCCUUUCUUAUCCCCCUCAGCAGCCAAAAGUCAUUGUAAGGCUUGGUAGCCUAAUGGUAAGGACAACUACCCUUCAUGCAGACAUCCAGGGUUCGAAUCCAGACCGGGCAGACUGACAGUUGGAGUUUGAAUUCUCUUUUAUUCAUUUUACUGCUUAUUUUUUAUUUUCUAGCUUUUUCCUCCCCCUUCUUCAGUACAGCAGGCCAGUGCAAACAAAAUACAAACGUAUUUUUGCAAACCCCAACCCUAACCCAACCCUAACCCUAACCCUAACCCUAACCCUUUUGAUCCUAACCCUAACCAAAUUUAAAUUGAGAGCCCUAACCCUAAUUAGAUUAUGAAAAAAAUAAAAUAAUUUAUCCUUCAUUACCCAGAGGGAGGAGCGAGAUCUGAGUGGGGACAGAAAUGGUCCGUGCACGAGGGCUCCAGGCAUACAGCCUGGAACCCUAACCCUAUCACCUAACCAGCCUGAACCUUCUGAUUCUCCACAGGGUCUCUGUCUCUUCCUUCCCCACCUCCCAAAAAUCUCUUUCUGUCAUCUCCAAAGAUGAUAUUUGUCAUGGUUUGUUGGUUUAUGACUGCAAUUCAAAACUAACUCCUAUCAUUUUUUUUCUCCUAGAGGGAUUAUACUCACCUCCACCAUUGAAGCCUUAAUUCGAUUCUUGAAAAAGCAAUAGAUACACAAUUUUUAUUAUCAUUUUUUUGGGUUAUUACAAUUACAUCAGAAAUGUUAUGAAAUAAAUGCAUACUUUUACCUUUUUACAGAAUGUUUGUAUUUAGUUUUUUAUGGAAAGCAUAUACUGUUUUGAAUAUUGUCAAUUGAUCCCAAUACUUUUAAGAUGGUAAAAUUUAAUUUUCAUAAAAAAAUGUUUUACUUUUAUGGGAAAACAAAAAAUUACAAAUGCAUGUGAACACAACGCUCCGAGGCUCCAAGCUCCUUCGACCAGUGAAGGGCACCUUCUACCCAGCAACGCCUCCUGAUUGGAGGAGCAGCCCAAAUGCAUGAUGGGAAAUGUGACAUCAUCCCAUGAACUCUUCCCUCCAUUUUGAUGAGAAGACGCAUGCACGGAGCUGAUCCUCGUCAGUAUGAUCGCUUCUCAUGUUUAUUCUUAAGCCAGCCUGAAGAAGACUAAGCUUGUUCGAAACGUUGCAACCUUGGCUUGUAUUAUUUUUUUAUUAAACCGAAGUUGAUCUGUAAAAUCACGUUUCCUAGUUUAUUAUUAGCAUAGCCUCCCAGUAUUAGCAUAGCUUGUUAGCCACGUGUGACGGAGGUACCUUCUGCAACGGGCCGAAUUACACAAGGACCACAGUAAGCCAUGCCACCGCGCCCACACGACGACGGAUGGAUACUGGUGCAGUCCAGAGGAGGCAGACGGAGGGAACGGGCCUAUGAACGCGACAGGCCACAGAACAGACGUGCAGCUGCGGAUUUUUCCAGCUACCCACGCCGAGACGGACGCCGAUCUUAUGCGGACGUCACCAGGGAGGGAGCCCAUUUUCUGGAGCCGGCCUUCUACGGCAGACAGCAGGUGAGACAUCGCCCUGCACCGCAGCCGUUCUAUAGCGGGCCGCGCUACCCAUUUCAAAAUGGCGCUCAACGUGCGCCAAGACCUAGACCACGCGGUCCCUCCAACCAAAAUGGCCGCUACGUCUUUGUACCAGCAGGUGAUCGGAAUGAAGCCCCCCCCCACAGGGUACAGUCUAAUGACCCUGAUUUUACAGAGAAGGUGCGUGUAAUGAACAGACUGAUUAAAGCUGUACACCACCUCACCAAUGUGUCCAGAGAGGCUCAUCCUCCCUCCCUGGACAAAAUAACAAACAAUCUAGCUACAAUUAUCAAACCAGCAUCCCCAAAUCUACAAACACAGACUUUGAUUGACGGCAAUGCUAGAAAUUGGGCCUUCACUACCGUUCUCAUCCUCAGAGAGCAUUAUCAAAAGAACAUUGACUCUGAAAUGCAAAAGCUCACCCAGUUCCCUUCACCGGACUGGAGAGGCCCCUUUGAAAUAGCCACAACGUGGGCGAAACGUAAUUUAGGCAGACGCCUGAGACAGGAUACAAUAGACCGUGCCCAGGCGGUCAUCAUUGCCAGGACGACAGAAACAGCACCUCCUGCUCCUCUUCCUGCUGCUGCCGUUUCUUCUCUCCCAACGCAGACAGCUGACCAGACAGCAGAAGAGGACCCACAUGCUGUGAUUGAGCUGGCUCCAUCAUCACCUCCAGUGAACCAGCCUCCCUCCACGAGACCACAGAGCCCAGCUGCAGCACGGCCACCCCCUUCACCACAAAGCAGCAGUCAGCAGAUCACCACCAUCGCCCAAAUCCACGCAGCGCCUCCACCUGCGCCAAUCUCCCGGGUUUCAGUGGAGACCAUGACAGAACCACAACAGGAGGACUGGUCACCUCUGUUUGACCUUGAGGAGGCAAGUGAAACAGAACUUUCUCCUCCCACAUCCCCGUCUCGUCUUUCUCCUGUAAUCCCUCUUCCACCACGCAUAAAUCGCUCUCAAAUAAGCUCUACGGCAGAAAGUGUCGUACGAGUUCUCGACAUGCAGAAGGCUGACUCUGAAGCCGAAGAGGAAAUCACUCUGGAGCCAGAACCAGCAGAUGAGCAGAUCACAGCGCUGAGCCAGAGAAAAGGAAGCCAACGCUCCUCCCACAGAGAAGGGAGUCCUCCUCCUCCCGUCCAAACCAGCACCAUGGAGAGCAGAGGGUACCACACACUCACCCCUGCCACUCUCUCCAAGCUGAGAUCCAGCGUGCAGUCCAGACUAGCCGUUGAGCGAGCAGAGCAGACGACAACUUCUGCAGCAGAAAUGCAGGUGUGUGCUCCAACACGACACGACAACACACCCCGCAAAUUUACAGAGUGGCACCUGCACAUACAACAGAAGAAGGUCAUCAUAGGAGACUCAAACAUCAGCCGCCUCCCACCUUUCAAAGGUGGAAAUGUACAAUUGGACAGUUUUCCUGGCGCCAGAUGGCAUCAUGCAGAAUUUCUCCUGAAGACGGCCACCUUCCAGACGGAACCAGAGGUUCUCCUGCUAUCCUUCGGCCUCAACAACAGAUCCCAGAGGGAUAAAAAAGCUCCAGUGAAAGAGAUGAUCAAAGCCCUGACUGUAGCAGGACAGAGAUUCCCAGACGCCACAAUCUUCGUCCCUCACGUCAGUUUUUCACCUCACCUUUCACCAGAUGAAAAAGCCGUCCUGAUUCAUCUGAAUCAACACAUCCAAGAACUGACAGACUACAUCCCCCCACUCAGUGGCUUCUUUGAGACCCAAACUGACAGCAUCCACUGGACGGCAGCUACCGCGAAGAGGAUGCUGGAACACUGGGCUUCAUGGUUAAACUGAAGCUCCCUUUAAGCCUCUCACAGAGGGAGGGGAAAGAUGGAGUCAUGAAUCUAUGUGAUAACUUUGUUCUUUCUCUUACACAGCUUUCCCUGCUGAGCAGAGGUCUUACUUUCAUCCCUUCCAAAUGUAACAGUAAGAAUUUGACCUUUCAAUCGAGACAUGAUUUACAGGAGUACCAUCGCAGAAUUAAGUUAACUGUUCACUAUAAGGACAAAAGCAGCAUCCAACCUCAGCCAUUCACACUGAAAUCUGACUGGACACCCCCAUCUGCUACUCUCCCACCACAAAUUAACCGUUUAAUAGACCAGGAUAUUUCAUACUUUGAGAAUGAUUUUAAAAUCAUUCAUAACACUCCAAAUUUGAGUGGUGAGGAAACCAAAGCUCUAAAAGAAUUAGCCCAAAAUAAUGAUAUAGUUAUUAAACCAGCCGAUAAGGGCAGUCUAACAGUAAUUAUGGAUAAAAAAGAUUAUUUAUAUGAAGGUUACAGACAGUUAAAUGAUGUAACUUAUUAUCAUAAACUCAAUAAACCCAUUUAUUUAGAUACAAUCCCUCUAGUAGAUACAAUUAUUAAUAAUUUACUGAAAAAGAAAUUUAUAAAUAAAAAACAAAAAACUUACCUGCAGGGCAACUCGCAACCGAGGCCCAGACGUUUUUAUAUGUUACCCAAAAUCCAUAAAGAUCCCCAAAAAUGGACCGUUCCAUCUAAAAUUCCUCCUGGCAGACCCAUUGUUUCAGACUGUGAAAGUGAAACCUAUUAUACAGCAGAAUAUUUGGAUUUUUUUCUGAAUCCGUUAUCUAAUAAACAUGACAGUUACCUUAAAGAUACAUAUCAUUUUAUUGAAAAAAUUAAACAACUAGUAAUCCCAGCAGACUCCUUUCUGUUUACUACACAGCAAAAACUGGAGAGUUGAAAUUUCGGGGUUAAACAAACCAGAGUUGAUUUUCACUCUUGAAGUGUUAUUUUAACACAUUGUGAUUCAAAUGGUGUUCAGUGUUGGGGUUAUUUAUCAGUGUUACCCAAAUCAAGCUAAUUUAACACUACAGAGAGUUAAUGCCCCUGGGCUUCUGCCUCAGAAACCCUGUGCAAGAAAGUACAACGGACUGACACUCUUGAAGUGUUAUUUUAACUCACUGUGAUUCAAAUAAUGUUCAGUGUUGGAGUUAUUUUAGCCAAAUCAAGCUCAUUGAACACUGUAGAGAGUCAAAGCCCCUGGGCUCCCGCCUCGGAAACCCUGUGGAAGAAAGUGCAUCGUGCUGGUAAUUUUCCAUGAGCUGCAGAAGGUUUCAUCAGUGCUGGAAAAAGUUCUUCACAAGUGGUAAGUAACUGUAAUUUAUGGGGAAGAUAAUAUUAAAUGAAAGUUAGUGUAUACAUGAUGUAUCUAGGGAAAACUGUAUAACUUUUCUACGCUUUUUUGUUGCUGUUAAGCUGCUUUCACACCGGCAGCGGGACGUGGCGUUCAUGUUUAUGUAAGCGUUACAGGCAGAACAGAAGGUGUAAAUGCAGCUUUACCCGAACAGCUAAUGCUUCAUUUACACAGACGUUGAGUUUCAAUAUCAACUCAAUGUAGAGGAUAUGCGACGCAAUUUGAGCGCAGCACGUUUUCAGCUAAGUUAAAAAAAAGAGAGACGUUGGCGAGGUUUUAAGCAAUCUGGGACUCAACGUGUUCAGUGACUCCAUGAGCAGGUGAAGUACAAAUACAAAAUGGCGACUCGAUGUCACUAUUUUAAUCCCGAACGUCCAUCCAUCCAUCUUAACCUGCUUUAUAUCCCUUUCGGGGCCGCUGGGUUACUGGAGCACGUCCGGAUACUGUUGGGCGAAGGUGGGAAAACCCUAGACAGGUCACCAGCUUGUUCCAGGGCCCAUGAUGGGGAUGGAGUGCUCCACGUCCGCCCCCGCCUCGGUAGGCUGGUUGGCGGCAGACAGAGAGCCGCCGCGGCUUUAUAUUUUCUUAUUUCCACUGCGAAAAUAUCAAAAAAGAUCCUCUAGUUUUAUUAUUAUUUUUACCUUUUUGAAAUAAUCUAAUAAAUAAGUAUGCCUUUCCUGCUUGUAAUAGCUGGAUGUCACGUUAUCUAGAUGAUUAAAUUAAAUAGGGGAAUAUAUUUAUAUUUUAACCUUUAGAUGUGUUGCGAAAUGCAUUUUAAAAGCAAAAUGUAUAAAAAAAAUUUGUAUGUUUGUUUUAUUUCGAGCCAUGGAGAAUGAUUUAACGCUAGCAUUUACGAAUAAGUCAAUCUUUGUGUCCUUUAGAAAGAUAUGGGCUGUCACUUUUUGUGGGGGAGGGGGUGUUACUUAAGUAUAAUUUAAUUUUAUAAAGCAACCUUGCUUUAAUCAAUCUCUACACCACAUUGUAAAUGUAACUAAAUUUUAUAAUCUAACUCUUGUAGGUCUAUUGGUGUUGCUCUUCAGCUUCAGAGGUUUUCAGAUGGUAAACCUAAAGUGAUUUAGUAAAUUGCUGGUUCAGGUUCGCUACCACCAACAGCAGAAAUAUGUAAAGGUGGAUGAAGUUGGAGAGUUUGAUUUCAUGCAACUGCAUGAAAAAGAGUUUACCGAUUGCUCCUUGUCCUCUCCAUCUGAAUGGUCUGACUCAAGCUUCAAGUUCAAGUGCAAGUGCAUCAACUAUACUUCUAGAUGAGAUCCCAAGGAAAAAAUCAAGAGUUAAAGGAACAAUCAAUGCAGUUUCUGCAAAAAAGUUGAUCGAAGCUGUACUUGGAACCAGUUCAGGUGGUGAGGAGGUCCUUGAAGAAUAUCACACAUCACAGACUCUUAAAGAUUCUACCAGAAGAAAGCUUGUCAAUACAAUAGUGGCCCACAUGAUUGAUAAACACAGACAUCUCCCCACCAAAGCUGUUAGAGAAGAAUAUGCUCUUGGGAUAGUGACACUUUUUCCAUCCCUGAAAGACCCAUACUCCAAGAAAGGCUAUGAACACUUCUAUGAUGCUGCAAGCAGUACAGGAUACAUUUCUUGGCGUCUUAAGACCAUCCAGAGAAAGAUUCGACGAGAAUGUACCACUUCAAAUAGCCUCACUGGCCUUUCUCAAGGACAAGGGGGCCCUAAAUUCCAGAGAUCUGUUGUAGUUGAAGAGCAGCAGCUGGAUGGAGAUGCUUGUCAGGAGGCAAUGUCUUUGCUCAACCAUGCCACAGACACUACACUAAUUUUUCGAAAGAUGAGAGAGACGUUUCAGCAUCGGCAAAAACUCGUCAAUGACUCAGACAAAGCGCUUGACAUCCUGUCAUGCUUCCCAAGAUUCCUGGAUACCAAAGGAUUGGCGAAUCAAGACUUCAUUCUCUUGUUUAAUGACGAGGUAUCCAACCGGCUGCUUCAGAAAUGGGACCCGAUCUUUAGAUGCAACAUUAUCAAAGAGGCCAAGCAGCUCACUUCAACUCCAGAGCUUCGUCAGCUGUUGCAUUCAGCAGAGAGUCCACAAGGCAGUGAUGAGACAAUGACUCAUGACGCAGAGAUGGCCUCGCUUUUGUUGCUGUUAUACCUUCCACCACCACCUGGGGGGCCAAAGUAUCCAAAAAUCAGCGCCUCUGAUGCAGUUGAAAAAGUUGACUUUCUCAAGUCUUACUGCAGUUUGGAGGAGCAUCUUCAGAAUCAGCACCACCAUCAGCUGUACCUCCUUGCCGUUGGUCGUGAAAAGAGGAACAUCGACAGAUUCUACAUCUCCAUUGACAACCAUCUCAUCCCAUGCCAGGCAAACCGCUCCCUUGGGGCAUUUGAUGAACUUUUUAAAGCUCAUUUUGUUUUCAGUGUGUCUUAUGAUGGUGCACUUCUGAAUUUCUACACCUUUUUGCAGACAACAGUUUAUAAUAUUGAUAUGGGUAAAAUGAAGGUGUCACCAAAAGUUUCGAGACAUGAGCCAAACUCCUUAUCCAGGAGGUGCUUCUCACAACCCAGAUUUAAAGUCAAGGCAAUUAAAGGCAUUUUGAUCAAAAUGCUCAUGUUUUUUGUGCAAGAUUGUUUUUCCCAGCAGUUGAUUUCACAUAUGAGUUGAACAUGGUUAUUAUCCUGGACCAAAGUUCAAGUUGUUUUGUUGUCAGCCAAGUUAUAGGCUUCAGCUUCAAACUUAUGCAGGCUUUAGAAAGCACCUCAUCACUGCUUAUAGAGGCAUUGAACAAAUUGUUUUUUCCCACUCCCAUCCAAGUCUUUUUGUUAUUCUGUCAUGUAAUAUGUUUUAUUUAACUGCAUGAGAGUGAAAUAUUAAAUAUUUUUUAAAUUACA